rnacentral:lncRNA from 1 species
CCCACACCAGGAAGUGGGGGAGGAACCCCUCGGUCACUCUGGGAGAGGCAGUUCCGGGAGCCACAACACUUCAAAACCUACAAGUCACAGAUUAAAAUAUGUGCUCUAUGCCUUUCACCAUGAAGGACCCAAAGUAGAUUAUUGAUUUCUUUGUUUCUAUUCAUAUGCUGAUAAAUAAAGCUGAAGAACUUCACAUAACUGUUCCAACUGGCUUUGCUACAACUUUAUAUGAGGCUAAAGUCCAAGUGCACCUGGCCUAAUGGGUUGAAGCUCAAAGGUUGUGUAUUUCAGGGCAUCUGCAUUGUGCAGACUUUGGGGAAUAUUCAUGGUAGACUUAAAAAGGUGGUUGAGCUGUUCCUUAGCAGCAGGAUAUUUUGUGAAUGCCAUGGCUCAUUAUAUCAGGGAGGACCUGGAGGAAGUUGCAAGGAGAAUGAGUCAGAUGAAGUGACUUCAAUGUUUCUAGGACUGGUCCUUAUACCUUCUAAAUUGGAUGGAAGAAAAGGGGAAUGAUCCAACUAUAUAGAUUACCAGGGAGAUGGAGCACAACAUCCUUCAGGCACUAUUUGGGUUUUUUGAGAAGAUGCUCCCAAGACUUUUUGCAUGUGCACACUCAAAUGAAGAUCUCCUAAGACUACUAGGUUUGUCUUUUUUCUUAUAAUCUUUCAUUCUUUUUUCCUAAUUAGUAAUCAUUUUUUUUGUCUCCUAUCUACCUCACCCAACUAGGAAAAACAACACAAAACAAAAUCUUUGUAAGAAAUAUGUAUAGGUAAGCAAAACGGAUGCUUAGAGUGACCAUGUCCAACCUCCCAAAUACCCAAACAAAAAUGUAAAUUGCUGUGUUGGUCAUUACUCCAUGCAUAAAGGUAGCUCUGGGAUCAGGACAUAUCAGGAAUUUUAUAGAGAUGAAUAGGGUCCCAUUUAGCAAUGUUUGAUUGGUUUUCCACUCUUGUUGUCAUCAUAAAAAUGAUGCCAAUUACCUAGGAAAUAGGAAUUGUGUGUAUGGGGCAGGAGAGUUAUGAUUCUCAAGAUCUUCUACGAUUGAGAAGCAAAUUAAGAGG